rnacentral:rRNA from 1 species
AGCUAGUUGGUGAGGUAACGGCUCACCAAGGCGACGAUGUUUAGGGGGUCUGAGAGGAUGAUCCCCCACACUGGUACUGAGACACGGACCAGACUCCUACGGGAGGCAGCAGUAAGGAAUAUUGGACAAUGGGGGCAACCCUGAUCCAGCCAUGCCGCGUGAAGGAUGAAGGCGCUCUGCGUCGUAAACUUCUUUUACUCGGGAAAAAUUGUUGGGUUUCUACCCGACUUGAUUGUACUGAGAGAAUAAGGACCGGCUAACUUCGUGCCAGCAGCCGCGGUAAUACGAAGGGUCCAAGCGUUAUCCGGAUUUAUUGGGUUUAAAGGGUGCGUAGGCGGGUUGUUAAGUCAGUGGUGAAAUCUUGCAGCUUAACUGUAAAAUUGCCAUUGAUACUGCCGAUCUUGAGUACACUUGAAGUGGGCGGAAUAUGUCAUGUAGAGGUGAAAUUCUUAGAGAUGACAUAGAACACCGAUUGCGAAGGCAGCUCACUAAAUUGUAACUGACGCUGAGGCACGAAAGCGUGGGGAUCAAACAGGAUUAGAUACCCUGGUAGUCCCCGCCCUAUACGAUGAUUACUAGAUGUGUGCAAUAUACCG